rnacentral:lncRNA from 1 species
UAAAUUCAUUAGGCUGACAAUUAUUCUCCACCAUUUUUUUGAAGAGCAUGAUGACCCUUAGCAAGUGCCUCAAUCAUAGUAUUAUAAGCAAUCAACAAGACAACAACAGUCUUAAUCUUCCCAAUUACAAAAUUCAUGGGUCCUUAAACUUCCCAAUUACAUUUGAAAACCACAAGUAAAAUAAAAGUGAGAUAAACUCAACAAUUCAAAGUCUUCAACAUCAAGCAUAAAUCCAACACAAGGAAAAACUCAAAGCAUACAAUU